AUGGGCAGAUCCAGGUUUUUUUUUUUUUUUUUUUUUUUUUUUUUUUUUUUUUUUUUUUUUUUUUUUUUUUUUUUUUUUUUUUUUUUUUUUUUUUUUUUUUUUUUUUUUUUAGCUAAUUGCUUAACACUUUUCUUUGAAAUUGUAUUUUUUGGGAGGAUGUAUACUUUUUUUUACUGUAUUUUUUCAUACACACUAAAAAAGAGACAGUGUGACAACCAAGAAACAUUAAAAAAAAAAAAAAAAAAACUAAAUUCAAGAAAAGAGAAAGCCCUUUAUAGAAAAGAAUGAAGCACAAUCCCUUUUAUCCCAGGUGGGGAGGCCCAAGAGAAAUCUGCCAUAGAUGGGGUAAAGUAAAGGCAGCUGAAUAUUUAACUGUUUUUUAAUAGUUUUCAGCUACUAAGUGACAGAGUAGUACAGAGAGCUGAAAUAAACUUGUAAAGUACCUCAUGCUUCCACCUACAGAAGACUGGAGCCAAGUAAGGAUAAUCUAAAAGAUGUUCCUUAAGGCAUUAGGCUUUCAGCUACUGAAGCCUGGAGUGGGCCAGGAGAGACCAGAAAAUUUUUUGGAAAAAAUGGGAGUUCCUAUUGUGGCUCAGCAGAAACAAAUCUGACUAGCAUCCAUGAAGACUUUUUGAUCCCUGGCCUCACUCACUGGGUUUGGGAUCCAGCAUUGCCUUGGAUUGUGGUGUAGGUGGCAGACACAGCUCAGAUCUGGCAUGUCUGUGGCUGUGGUAUAGGCCAGCAGCUACAGCUCAGAUUCGAUCCCAAAUCUGGGAACCUCCAUGUGCCAUGAUUGCUGCCCUAAAAAGACAAAAAAAAAAAAAAAAAAAAAAAAAAAAAAAAAAAAAAAAAAAAACACCAAACAAACAAACAAAAAACUUAAAGCCAUCUAGGCUCUUACAUAAUGUAAGGCACUGGGGCAAUGAAAUGAGCUGACAAAGACUGCCCAAAAGAUAUAAAGCCAGAAGUGGAACCAGAGAGUGGAAAGUAAAGAACACCUGCCAACAACACACAAAACUGCAGCCGAAUCUAAAGUAGACACAGUUCUUGUAUGCAGAAAGCUGAUAGAUUCUCUACAAAGGAUAAAGAAAUAUCUCAAACUUUGAAAGUUCAAAGAAAAAACGUCCUGCCCAAGCAGUCCAAAAACAGCAUUUAAACCUUUUAAGCUAGUGGUAAAGUAAAUCAAGGUAAAUCUUUAACAAAGCCCAAACAAGUUCAACCGCAAAUCAAAUGAUUCAGUUCCCUUUUGCAGCACCCUAACAGAAGAAUGAUAUUCUAUUUUCUAAGAGUAUAUAUUAUUUACUUUGUUACUUAGUAGUAUCCAAUAUAAAUAUAACCAGUAUACAUUUUGAGUUUACAUAUAUAUAAAUUGUAUGUAUUAUAUGUAAGUUCCAUUCAAAUUAUUUUAUAUGUAUGAAGAAGAAAAUGUGUCUCAUCAUCAGGAAAGGGAACAGUCAAUACAAAUAUACCCAGAGACAUAUCGGAUGGUUUUAUCAGACCAGGUCUUAGAAUAAUUUGUGAUUAUGCUAAAAAUAGCUAAGGACAUAUUUGUAAAAGUGAACUGUGUGAAUAAAAAAUAGAGGAACUCAGUAGAAGAGUGGAACUGUAAAAAAAAAAAGACCAAAUGAAAAUUUUAGGCAUUUAAAAAUAUGGUAUCAGAAAGGAAGAGUUAAAUUAGC
rnacentral:lncRNA from 9 species